AGUUAAAAGGCUACUUAAUAAAACAGCUUGUAACUGAUUAUAUAGCAGCUUUAAGCAAUGUACAAAUACACAUGAAAGCUCUGAGGCCCUACACUGUGCAAGGCCAAGUAUGAAUGUGCCUUUGAAAAACAAGCCAGGCCAGACAGAGUGAGACAGAGAGAAAUAAAGAAAGAGAAAGAAAUGAAAUGAAAGGACGAUUGGCCUUUUAGCAUAGAAAUGCUGAAUCACAGGUAUGAUGUGGUUGUUGGUACGAAGCCAUAAUAUCUGUAACAAUAACCAACAACCAUGUCUUUUGAUAUGGUUAUAGAUUUAUGAAGGAGCCAUAUGUAAUUCUCAUUGACAUAAGUAAUCAUUAAUCUGUUAUUAAACUCACAAUCCUCUUUCUAUAGACAUUUUCAUGAAAUGAGCACUAUAAUGUAAUGUAAACCUAUUUGACCUUGUGUCAAGGGCAUAUUUUUGCUUAUCUGUGGAGUUUUAAUCUCCUAAUAGCAUAUUGCUCAGAUUUCUCCCUCUCUCCCCUGUCACUCCAAAACACACAGUCAGUAAAGCUCUAGUGGAGAUAUUUACCUUUACACUGGCUUGGAAUAAUUUUAUCAGGCCUAAACGCAGCAGAAAGAGGAACGUUUUCAUUCCCAUCGUCGUAUCCUUUAACACAGGGUUUUUACAGAGGGGUCGGUUUGCGACGCCUCUGAGCAACAAAACCAGAAUAACCAUCUUCUGCCUGAUGGUGCUUUUUUUUUCCUCUUAAGAAAAUUAAAUCCAGCAUAAUUUAAGAGCGCAGCCUCUGAGGAGUGAAACUGCUGGAAAUUCUUGGGGCUGAUUUUUGUUAAGAACCUUUAUGCAAACCAUCCCCCUCAUUUUCUUUCUGAAGACAGGAUGAAGGAGAAAAAAAAAUGCAUGAGUUCUUCAUUUCUCACAGACAGACAGACAGAGAUUUCAUCAGCUUUUAUUAAGGUAAUGGUCAUUUUACUGUAGGGGAUUUUUUAAAAGUGUUUAUUUUUAUAUAUAUAUAUAUAUAUAUAUAUAUAUAUAUAUAUAUAUAUAUAAAAAUAUAUAUAUGCAUUUAUUACCAUGUCCUAAUUUACAAUUAUUUGCAAACCAAACCUGAAUUGUUUUUCUUUUUUCUUAGUUUUUUCUUUUUUUACCAAGCCUACAUUAGCCUUUUUGCCAAUAUACUACAAUUCCACAAUCAGGAAAAAUAAUGACUUAUUAAAAAUCCAUUUGUUUUUUAUUUUUAAUCUGAUUUUGAAGCUCUCCUUUUUGUCAAGUUGAAAAACAUGCUCUUUAAUGGCUGCUUAGCUGUUGUCUGUUUUCAAAAUGGCGGAGUCUCUAACAACAGCAGCAGCAGGGAGAAGAACCAUACUCGGAUACUGUCUCACUAAAUAGUACGUGAAUACUACUUCAGUCGAAGUUUAUAGAUUAGGUUAUGAUUUUAAAACAUCUCCAUGUCGUCAAAUAAGACGACGUGGCUAGACUAUAAAUAUCACACCGUACCGUACUAAAUGGUAUUUCACAUAUUAAAGUGCGACAUAACGUUUCCACAUACUAUUUAGUAGGGUAGUAUGAAUGCUUUGGAGUUGCCAUGGUGACCUACUAGCGCCAAUAUAGGUGCAGCAUUCUCGCGCUCCCUGUUCACACGCAGACGUUUUAACGCUUUUUGUUAGAUUUUUGUUAGGUUAUAAGGUUUACAAACCGGGAAGGUUUGAAUCCAAAAUGGCGUGUUUAAUCCACAUAAGGACGGACAUGUAGUUUAAAAUUUCGUUUACAGAGCAAUACGGACAUUUGCUCGUCUCGUGAUCUGUAACCCCACCUUCGAGAAUGUUCCACACAGUAACUCAAUACAGGGCGAGUUUGCAGAGUAAACAAGAAGCAGAGAGAGAGAGAAAGAGAGAGAGAGAGAGAGAGAAAGAAAGGACAUUUUGUUCUAUGAUUUUGAGCACAAGUGAUAUGUCUGCAAAUAGUGAGUGGUUUGUGGUGUGUAGAUUUGUAUGUAUACUGUGUUUCCCCAUUUUGUGCAUUCAUUUAAAUGUAUAUUAUUAUAUAGUUUUGCAGUGUAAUGCAUGCACUUUUUUUAAUGCACUGUAUGUUUCUAAUUCCCUUCUCUGCACCAAGGCUGGAAGCUGUGUAAGAAAGUAUCUACAUUUUUUUUUUUUUAGAGAGAAUUCCAUAGGUCAUAUAUUUUGCACUAAUCCAGAAUAAUACAAAAUCUUUGGUCCUUUCAGGGUUUUUUUUCAUAGCAAUUCUAGGUUGGAAAAAAAUAUUUAAGAGCUGGAACGUGUCAAUAGUGUAAACUGGGCUAACAGUAGGAAAGGCUCGAACGUUAACGUUCAAGCGAACAAGUGAAAAAAGAAGGAUGCACCUAAAGAACGGAUGUGAGAACCCAGAUGCGGCGAUCUUGACCAAAAAAAAAAAGCUUUGCCUAUCAUGCAGUCGGUCCAACCUCACAACAAAGCAGGAGUAAAAAUUGGAGCAGCCUGAAGGGUGGAGGGCACACAUCUCCUUCAGAAGUGCCUUUGUCUGGUACUAUUUUAAACACAGACAGGGACGGACAGAGAAAUCCUGCUGUCAAGAAUCUGGUUUCAUGUGCACCGGAUCCAUAAAGAAGAUUAUCGUCAUUUGAAUAGGUAUCUGUCAGGCCAUGUUUGUGAGUACGCUCCGACAGAACGGCUGAUUUAGGAGCUAAUCAAUGUUGGCUGGUUAAUGAUCUGCAGAUGUGGAGAAUUUCCAGUGGAUUGAGUUUAGGGUUCAAAGGUCAGAUUAUUUGGUUUAACCUAUGACGGCAUGAUUAAAGGUUUUGCACACAGUGUGUUUAAAUAAAGCAUUUUGAAAUGUAAGUAGUUUUUAAUUGAGACUUGCUUCAAAAGUGAUUGAAUAAGUGAAAAUGUAUAUUAGAAGAUAAUAUUCUAACUGCCUUUCUAGAUGUAUUUAAAUGAUGGAACAUUUCUUCUUAAUCAGUACUUGAAAUGCUGAAAGAUUUUGGGGAAACUGAAGGAUUAAUGCCUGGGAAAUGAGGCGUUGUUCAGGAAGCAUCUAUUUUUCUAUAAAAGCCAGUUAAUACAAGGUGAUUUCUUGAACAUCUUGAAAAUGAACAAGUAAAUUUUAAUUGCUGCAGAUUAAUGAUGUUUAAGAGGAUUUGGAUUACUAACAUUCUAUUCCUAUUAGCAAGAAUUACAAAAUUCUGUAUUCAUUUAUUAAAAAAAAAAAGACAUUUCUGUAUCUGUAAUUGUAUAUGUAAAAAUACAAAUGUUUUAAUUGUUUUAUAUAGAUAUUUGUAUUGUGCAUAUUUUUUAAGGCCCACAGUCUUUUUCAUCUUUUUUUUUCCCUCGACUUUCAUGCGCUCCCUCUUUCGCUUUUUCAUGCUCUCACUCUCUCUCACACACGCACACACACACAACACACAAUCAAAGGUCUGACUUGCUGUUGAGUGAAUCAUUUACACAUUCCUAAAGUCUAUGUAUCUACAUACGUAUAAAUCACGAAUAAAGUACUGUACAGAGCUGAGUGUGUAGGUGUGCGUUUGGGUGAUGGUGAUACUGCAGGAUAUGACUCGCUUGAAUUCAUGGAGAAAAUCUGGUUUCUCUGCUCUAAACACCGCCCUCAGAAGCCGUGUCUUGGAUUCCAUGUCAUUAAAGGAAGUUCCAUUUUAAAGGGUGUUUUACAUAUACCAAUGAAAUGCAGCUUGCUUCCUGAGCAUGUUCAAUAAGUAUCUACAGUAUAUCAAUCUGAAAAUGUGAAGAAAAUGUUAUCAGUAAUGUUUUGCACGUCAAAUCAAUGAAAAAGCAGGUGCCACAACGGUCGACUGUGCAGCAGCUCACAUGGGAACGAGCAUUUUCUGAUGACACCAUAUGGUGUUUUUAGUAAACAUUUUUGUUUAGCUGAUUAGAGAGAAAGCAUACAACUAAGUAAGCACAUCUAGGGUGUUGUCUACACCUAGCACAAGCGAGUGGAAUUACAUUUGCUUUACAUUUACAUGAACCUCAUUUGGUUGAGCCAUUUAGAUAAAGGGACCUAAUUGAGAAGUUCCUGGUGAGCAGUUGAGGGCUGAAACCCAAGAGUGGCAGCUCAGUGAUGCUGGAAUUUGGACUCAGUAUCUUCAUUGACCAGAAGAUUGAUAGAUCUUCAUCAGUAGACCAGUCUGCUGACCUCUGAUCCACCACUGCCAAGAAAUAUGUAGUAUGAGCAAGUUAUUUCAAUGCAGCAAGGAGCUACACUAUGAAGCAAUGUGUCUAGAAAGGCUUGGCAGUAUUUUCAUAGCAAACUCGAUUCAAAUUCAGUAGAGGGCUCUAAAACUACAACCCUUCUUAUUCUUUGUAACACUUAUAAAAUUUAGAGGUCUGUCUUACUAUUUUCUUUGUAGCAAUGUAAGUGCCUUGUGAUUCUUUUUACUGUUUUAAAUUUAGAUAUUUGCGUUUCCUGUAUGGUUAUGUACAUGUACUGGAAUAAAGUACCUUUUAAACUGUUGUUUGAUUUCAA